UUUUAAAUUUCAAAUUUCCUUUUUUCACUGCUGGUAUAUAGGAAAGUGCUUGACUUCUGUAUAUUAACCUCAUAUCCUACAAAGUUGCUAUAAUCAUUUAUUAGUUCCCAGAGGUUUUUGGGGGGUCAGCUUUUACAGAUUUUCUAUAUAGACAAUUAUAUCAUCUGUGAACACUGACAGUUUUAUUUCCUCCUCAAUCUGUAUACCUUUUAUUUCCUUUUCCUGUGUUAUUACAUUUGCUAGCACUUCUAGUAUGAUGUUGAAAAGCAGUAGGGAGUGGGGACAUCCUUGCCUUAUUCAUGAUCUUAGUGGAAAAGCUUCUAGUUUCUCACUGUUAAGUGUGAUGUUAGCUGUAGGUUUUUGUAGAUAUUUAUCAUGUUGAGGAAUUUCCCCUCUAUUUCUAGUUUAAUGAAAUAUUUAGAGUGGGUGUUGACCUUUGUCAGAUGACUCUUAACGCAUCUACUGAUAUGAUCAUGUGCUUUUUCCUUUUUAGCCUGUGGAUGUGGUAGACUACAUUAAUGGGUUCUCAAAUGUUUAAUCAAACUUGCAUACUUGGGAUAAAUCUCACUUGGUUUUUGAGGCUGAUGUGUUCUUGUACCCCCCAAUUUCAUAUGUUGAAAUCCUAUCCCCCAAGAUGAUGGUAUUAGGAGGGAGGGCCUUUAGGGGAUGAUUAGGUGGUGCCCUCAUGAUUGGGAUUAGUGCCCUUAUAAAAAAGAACUCAGAGAAUUAGCUAGUCCUUUUCACCAUGUGAGGACACAGUAAGAAGGUGCAACCUAUGAAUCAGAAGUCAGGACCUUAUACACGGUAUCUGCCUGUGCCUUGGUCUUGCACUUCCCAGCCUCUAGAACUGUGCAAAAUAACAUUUCUGUUGCUUUUAAACUACCUAGUCUCUAGUAUUUUUUUUUUUUUUUUUUAACAGCAAGCUGAACAGGCUAACUGUGGUGUGUAGUUUUUUUUUUCUUUUCCAUUAAUGUCUUUGUCUGGUUUGGGUACUAGGGUAAUACUGAUUUCAUAGAUUGAGUUAAGAAUAUUUUCUUUUCAUCUCUUUUGAAAGGGACUGUAAAGAAUUGCUAUAGUUUUUCUUAAAUAUUUUUAAUUUUUAAAUUUUAUUUUAUUUUUCUUUUUUUUAGGGCCAUACCCAAGGCAUAUGGAAGUUCCUAGGCUAGGGGUCAAAUCAGAGCUGCAGCUGCUAGCCUACGUCACAGCCAUAGCAAUGCAGGAUCAGAGCCACAUCUGUGACCUACACCACAGCCUGCAGUAAUGCCAGAUCCCUAACCCACUGAGCAAGGCCAGGGAUCUAACCUCAUCCUCAUAGACACUAUGCUGGGUUCUUAACCCAUAGAGCUACAAUGGGAACUC
rnacentral:lncRNA from 1 species